CCGAAAGUCACUCCCAACUAGGUAUUUCCCAAAGGAGUUGUACUGUAUGUUCCAGAGUGCAGCUGCUGAGCUAACUAUCUGGGUUGCAAUAAAAUGUCUUGAUUUUUAUCCAUGGUUGGACAGAUUGAGUUUUCUGAUAACCCCAGUCCAUUUCCCUAGAAAUGCAGGAUUUCUCCGCAGACAAAUAAUCUCUACAGUGGACCUCAAGACUUCAUACUAGGAUUCUGAAGAUGAUUGAGUCAAUGGAUGAGUGUAACGAACUUUUGGAAACUUCAAGGCAAUUAAAGGAAACUGCAGGAGGACCAGAAAAGAUCAAGACCAGGGCACGAGGGCUGAUCCAAACAACGGGGGCCGGCAUUUGUGAUCUUGGGUAGAGCCACCCCAGUGUGGGUCAACUCCACAGCAUUAGGAAAACCAGUUUAUCAGAAUUACCUUCUCAAGCAAUAGAUCUGUUCCUUGUCACAUUCUUAGAACUAAUAAAGACUUAUCUUUAUUACUACUAAUUAUAAUGUUUUGGUUCAUUCUUUUAAAAAUUAUGCAAUAUGUGACACAUACCAAAGAAUACUUGUAAUACACACUUAAGGUCUGAAACACAGCAGAAAAACAGAAC
rnacentral:lncRNA from 1 species